rnacentral:lncRNA from 1 species
UUGGUGAGUUUUAAUUACAAAUGGUCGCUAAUAUUGUGUAUGCAUGUGUAUGCAUAUUAUGAUCAUGUCUUGUAUGCAUGUGCAAGCAACAAAGUUUGGUAAAUAAAAAUUUUGGUCUUGAGCUUUUUGUAUGAGACUCUUUUUUUUUUUUUUUUUUUGAAUAAAGGGCUUUUAGCUUUUUGUAUGAGACUUAUUAACUAAUAAUUGGUCUUUAGGUGAAGAAUACAGGAAAAGAAUCUCUCCAAUGGGGUGAGUAUAUUCAUUUAUUUAUGCCAAUUCAACUUUUGUAAUUUAACCUUUAUUAUAUUCUUAGGCCAUGAUUAUCCCUAAACCGUUUUUUUGGGUUUCUUAUUUUUUUUUUUUUUCUUGAUUUAAAAAAAAAAAAUUUUAAAAGGUAUCCAACCGUGGGCUCCCACGUGUCAGUGGGGCCCGCAAACAGUACCAGAAACAGCAAAACUUCGAUCCUUCUUUGGCUACUUCUGUGACCGAUUUUAUCUUUUUGGUGGGGCCACCAUCGUUACUUUUCUUAGAAUCUUCACCCUAGAAACCGCGAUGUUGAUGCUGUUAAGGGUCGGGAUGUUAAUUGAUAUGGCAG